rnacentral:rRNA from 1 species
GAGUUUGAUCCUGGCUCAGAACGAACGCUGGCGGCGUGCUUAACACAUGCAAGUCGAACGAGAAAGAGCUCUUCGGAGCUUGAGUAAAGUGGCGCACGGGUGAGUAACGCGUAGAUAACCUGUCCAGGUGUUCGGGGAUAGCCCUCCGAAAGGGGGAGUUAAUACCGGAUACGUUAGUUUGUCAUAAGGCAAAUUAAGAAAGGUGGCCUCUAUUUAUAAGCUAUCGCACUUGGAGGGGUCUGCGUACCAUUAGUUUGUUGGUGGGGUAAUGGCCUACCAAGACUUCGAUGGUUAGCGGGUCUGAGAGGAUGAUCCGUCACACUGGCACUGAAACACGGGCCAGACUCCUACGGGAGGCAGCAGUGAGGAAUAUUGCGCAAUGGGGGAAACCCUGACGCAGCGACGCCGCGUGGGUGAGGAAGGCUUUCGGUCGGUAAGACCCUCGUCAGAAGGGAAGGAAAUAGUGUAGUGGUUAAGUUA